rnacentral:misc_RNA from 1 species
CGCCGCAUAACCGAGAGGUUCCGUGGAGGUUUCCCAUUUGCAGUUUGUUUCAGAUUAUCUAAAUUCUCCGAGUUCGGAUUUUCCAUAGAUGNNNCAUUGUCCUUACUAUAACCACCUUCUAAUACAGUAAACGGAGGUGAAAGAUCCAUACCAGCGGCCAUAUCCCCUUCCCAGUCAUAUAUCAAGUGUUUUCUGCGAAUACAGUUAAAGCAAACAACUUUAACUUUACCCUUAAAUCCUCUGGAACCCUAAAGAGAGACGUCUGAGAGGAGGGGCGAGAGAUAGAGAGAAUCAAAAGCAGUUCAAAAAGAGAGGAGAAAAUCUGCAUCGCAGAGAGAGAACUAAAUUGUUGGCUUUGGGUUGG